rnacentral:rRNA from 1 species
GACGAACGCUGGCGGCGUGCUUAAUACAUGCAAGUCGAGCGAACAGACGAGGCGCUUGCGCCUUUGACGUUAGCGGAGGACGGGAGUGUAACAUGUGGAUAACCUACCUAUAAGUCGGAGAACAUUUGGGGAAACGGGCGCAAAUACGGGAGAAGAUAUUGAACCGCAUGGUGCAAUGGUGAGAGACGGCGUUGGUGUCACGAAUCGAUGCAUCUGCGCCGCAUUAGCUAGUUGGUAAGGUAAAGGCUUACGAAGGGAACGAUGCGUAGCCGACCGGAGAGGGUGGUCGGCCACACUGGAACUGAGACACGGUCCAGACUCCUACGGGAGGCAGCAGUAGGGAAUCUGCCGCAAUGGGCGAAAGCCUGACGGAGCAACGCCGCGUGAGUGAUGACGGUCUUCGGAUCGUAAAACUCUGUUAUUAGGUAAGAACAAAUUUGUAAGUAACUAUGCACGUCUUGACGGUACCUAAUCAGAAAGCCACGGCUAACUACGUG